rnacentral:lncRNA from 1 species
UGCAUCGCUCGCCAGACGUGUAUGAUCAAAGACGUCAACCGGAAACUAUCGUCGUGCUUCCAACUAUCGCGUCGAAUUAGUCAGGGUAAGCAAAUUUGUUAUUCGUGUUAGUGGAUUGAUGCAUAGUAUGACUAGGUAUAUUAAUCAUGAUGAUUCGGUGGUGAGUCGGAUUGCUAAUUCGGUUAUUAGUUCGAUGAAGGGAACUGUAGGUAUACUAAUUAUAUCAGUCCUAUUGCCUUUAGUAUAUGUGUGACGUGGGGUAGGUAUACUAUUUGUUAGGAUGCCCAAGUCGUCUACAGUGAUUUGGUCGAUGUCGUGUGGAGAAAGAGAUCUAGUAGGUCCUAGUGCUUGCGGGACUGUAGGUGUUAAAAUGUGAUGUUUUAUUAAUAUAUGUGAUACACAGGUUAACCGGAAAAUUAGUUUAGAAAGUUAAUGAAAGUUCUUCUAUCAAAUUUUAUAAGUGUUAGAGGUCCAAGAAUUGUGAAGUUAAAGUUAUAAGUCGUUAGUGUGCUCUCUAAACUAGGUAUGAUAUUCUAUGUGUGUUGGCCAGUUUCAUAAUUGGAAUGGAUGUUGAUUGCUACCUCGAAUAUUUAGUUAAGGCUGUACUUCAAGUUAAUUAAGACGCACGAUUUAAAUAAUUAAUAAAAAGCUAGAAACAACGAUGACUCCACACGCGGAUUUUAAUCAUAAUAUCUUGUGAGGUUAGUUUAAAUCAUAUCUAGUUAGGUUGUAAGAACAUGAUUGUCGUAAGUAACAAUAUAUCGAUAAUUAGUGUCCGCAAUGCCUCGUCAUUAAGUGGGUUAUUUCUCUUUUGCGUAGCAUCGUAAUAUCUUGUGUUAUUCUUCCUUAUAUUCAUACAUGUGCAUUGUGUAUCCCAUGAGGUACGUUAAUUAACCACGAGAUGCGGAAGACCAAAGCUGAGUCGACCACAAGAGGCUGGAAAGCGUGAGCCGCUCGCAAGGUGAUGCUGAUGAACGAACCUGAAGAUGGAUAAUCUGACGAAUGUCAAGACAAAAGAUGAUCGUCAAGUGAUCGACGUCUAACAAACACUAACCUAGUGUUCUUCCAGGCAAGCCCCGGUGCAUUUACCCCUUCCUUGUGUUUUUAAAUAAUUUUUACACACUUUAAGUCUAGCGAAAUGUGCAUUAGGUUUAUAGGAGUUGCUUAGAAACCCUUUAAUGCAUUGCCUACCUUGAUAUCCAUACCUUUAUAGAUACUCUUGAUGAAGUAUCGAAAUAUGAUUUACAAAAAUACUUAGCCCUACUUAGAUCUUGUGGAUAGAGGUUGUCUUUUGCGUUAAGGCCUAGCUCAGGGGUUAUCUUGAAAAAGGAUGACUUCUACCUGCAAGAAUAUUUUCCUUGGGAGCAUGGUGGGAUCUUACUGCAAAGUUCCCUAUAAUGCUCUUUUCAUUCUAAGGAACACAAACAAUCCUAAGGAUGGAAGUACUUAAAUCGAGACUUGGGCUAGGAACAAGUGAUGUUCUACCCAGGUUGAUUAAGGAUUAUAUAGAAUGUAGGCCUGCUGACCGAGAACCUUUUAACUGGUCACAUGCCUCAUCAUGGGUAAGCUUUGCCUCGGGCAGACUAAUACCAGAAUAAGACAACACACAAUGGGAGUGGAGAGAUGGCGAGAUUAGCGUGUACCCUUCGUGGCAAGAGGCUGGACGGUGGUGUAUCUGUGCUCUCGGUUGGCGUGAACCUGAUCUGGUCUUAAAAACCCCGGUGGCGAGUUGACAUAUGCAAGGGUUAAGUGUUACAUAUGUCGUGUGAUUGGAGAUCCCCAGCUGGGUAUUAAUCGAUUCAGGAUCGCCGUUACUUCUCGGAUAUGAAGACUUGGUCACUGACUUGCAAUCUAAGUCAUGGAUGGAAUCAUAAUGAGCAAAAAUCGUGUUGUAUGGAUUAAUGUGAUGAUGAAAUUAGACUAGAUGCAAACAAGGUCUAUUAAUACUUAAUCUAGAAUUAAAAUGUUGAAAGUAAGGAUCCACUCAUAGUAAGCUUUUCUGCAAACAGAGUCCUUGAUUCUUGAUAAGCCAUACCUUGAAUCCUUUUAAAACCAACAUACCCUUGAGAGUCUUUUCUUUAGUCGAGUAAGUCUUGCUGAGUACUUGCGUACUUAGGGUUUUAUUCCCAUUGUUGCUGCAGGUUACGAGUCGCUUUGAUUGUGGUUGAUGUUAAGUGCGGGUGGGCUCGACCUUCUUAUAUAUGUAUAUCCCAUCUUUAGCUUCUUUUUUGAGGAUGGUCACUUAAGCUAGCAUAUACUUCAAACUUACAAAAAGUUUUGCAAUAUUUCAAAG